rnacentral:misc_RNA from 1 species
UUAGUACUCUGCCAGCACCCA